GGCUGGUCUGAGUACAGUGGUGUUGUUUACAACUAAUUGAUCACAACCAGUUACAGAUUUCUUGGUUCCUUCUCCACUCCACUGCUUCACUUGACUAGCCUUAA
rnacentral:Y_RNA from 1 species